UUCAACUAUUGUACUUAGACCCAUAAUUCGGCAAACAAAGGACCAUUUUUUUGUGUCCUAUAAAACUUUGUUCAAAACUUGAACAGUUUAAAACUGAAUUUGGUAACAAGUUGCUUGUUUGCCACGUUGUAUUUUGGAAAAAGGGCCACACUAUUAUGAAAAGCGACCGGUUGGUUCCAGGAUUUCGAGCGCUUUCAAGAACCACACAUGGUAACCACUGCUGAUGGGAAAGGGAAAGAUUCGUAAAGAGAAAUAGAAGAAUAUUUGUAAUAAUGUGACUUGUUCAAAUAGACAUAAAUAACUUUUUCUCUUUUCCGAAAUUUUUAAAAACGCAAGGUAGUUUUAAAUAUUUGAAACGAGUUACGUAGCCAUAACUAGUAUUAAGUUUUCAUAAGUUCAAGUUUUUACUGUAAGCCAUUUAUUCUAAGAUAAGGGAAUAGCUUAUAAGGAAUCUCAUUGUAUUCGGAUCUCUUCAUGUAUAAUACAUUUGUAAAGACAAUCAGUUCGCCGCAGUGCUCCUCGUGAGCAGUUCUCUAUUAAUUAAAUAAAGUCUUCAUAUCUUUUUUAAAACGCUUUACUUUGGGCUCCCAACCUAACUAACGCUAAAAUAGCGGAACUGGAACUAUGCUGGUACAAAAUAGGUGACAGUUGACACUACUCUACCCAGUAAUCUUUCCAGUCCUGUCCCUAGCAACAAAGGCAAGGAAGUUUUAAAUAUUUGAAACAACAAUAUAAUUUUAAAUGUUUAACCGAUAACCAACUGAGUCAAUCCAAAAUAUUUGAAAUUAUUAAAAUAACAACUUCAACUAUUUUACUUAGACCCAUAAUUUGGCUAAUGAACGACCAUUUAUUUGUUUCCUACAAAACUUUUUUUCAAAGCUUGAUCAAUCCAAAACCGAAUUAGGAAACCAGUUGCUUGUUUGCCACCUUGUAUUAUAAAAAGAGGCCACACUAUUAUGAGAAGCCAAUGGUUCCAGGAUUUCGAGCGCAUUCAAGAACCACACAUGGUAACCACUGCUGAUGGGAAAGGGAAAGAUUCGUAAAGAGAAAUAGAAGAAUAUUUGUAAUGAUGUGACUUGUUCAAAUAGACAUAAAUAACUUUUUCUCUUUUCCGAAAUUU